GUGGGGAAUAUUGGACAAUGGGCGCAAGCCUGAUCCAGCCAUACCGCGUGGGUGAAGAAGGCCUUCGGGUUGUAAAGCCCUUUUGUUGGGAAAGAAAAGCAGCCGGUUAAUACCCGGUUGUUCUGACGGUACCCAAAGAAUAAGCACCGGCUAACUUCGUGCCAGCAGCCGCGGUAAUACGAAGGGUGCAAGCGUUACUCGGAAUUACUGGGCGUAAAGCGUGCGUAGGUGGUUGUUUAAGUCUGUCGUGAAAGCCCUGGGCUCAACCUGGGAAUUGCGAUGGAAACUGGGCGACUAGAGUGUGGCAGAGGAUAGUGGAAUUCCUGGUGUAGCAGUGAAAUGCGUAGAGAUCAGGAGGAACAUCCGUGGCGAAGGCGACUGUCUGGGCCAACACUGACACUGAGGCACGAAAGCGUGGGGAGCAAACAGGAUUAGAAACCCGGGUAGUCC
rnacentral:rRNA from 1 species